rnacentral:misc_RNA from 1 species
GUUGCGUCAUGGGGUCGGUCUAACCUCGACCUUUGAUUGACAAUACACUCGAUGCUGUAAGGCAUUGUGACCCAACAAGUGGGGAGUUCGAUUUUGUUAACACAAAUUGAACGAUCUGCGGUAGCAGCGACAAAUGGCGUGGUGUGAGGCAACUCAAGCCAUGCCUGGAUGUUGUUGUUACUUGGUUGCUUGACGGUGUUUGCAAGCUGCGUUGUUGGUGAUGACAUUCGUCUCGAGGAGAUGCGGUGUCAUGUUUCCUGUGUAUCCUAGUUUUGAGUUAUUGAGCUUAAAACAUGUGGAUUAUCGGUUGGCAAUAUGACGUUGCUCGCUUGGUUGAUGAAAGUCAUCCAAUGAUGCGGUGGUUUGUUUGUUUUGUUCUCGCAUCGCUCGGUGCAUUCUGUGGUCAUUUUGGCUAUUGGUGGCUUGCUUGGCAAUUGAGCUUGGUGGGUUGCUACUAGUUGAGUGUCUUCGGGGAUGUCUACCGUAAAGGUGCAUGAGUGGUGUUUGGUAUGUUACGGGUGGUUGGCUCUUUGCUUGCGCAACAACUUCUACCUGGCAUACCUCUUCAGUGUUGUGUUAAUGCUUGUAUCGCAUUGAAUGCAUAGCGGGUUUCAUGUGUUGCAUGCCUAAUCUACGGUAUCGCUUGAUCUAUUUGUUUUCCUUUCGUCUUGCGUCCCCUAUGUGAUGCGGGAUGAAGCUUGAAGCAGCCUUUUUGAUCCACUCUUUUGAUGCAAGCGCAUUGAUUUUGUGGCCCAUUAAGUGUUGCUCGGUCUCAUGGAUAUGGAACCUGGUGUGGGCAUGGAAUCUUAAUGGUUCCUUGUUUGCCCAAGUUUAGCUUUUCUAAAACGAUUGUCU